rnacentral:lncRNA from 1 species
CAGAUUAAACUUUAAAUCCAACCCAUCAUAUUUUCCGGGCUCAUUGGCUUUAGAAUUGAAAUUUGGAGAGACAGUUCUUCUUCCUCUGUUCAAAGCAGGAUCUCCCCCUUCUAUUCAAGAUACUCUUGAAAUCCUCUUCUUUCUUUUCUUGCUGUCCUGUAUGAAACAAUUCCAGGGGGUUGUCAAGCUUUAUGAUAGAUCUUUUCUCGUACAAAGUUCACCUCACCGUUGUUUUGUAGGGUUAAACUCAAAACAUGCUUGGAAGAAUAGUCGGAGUUCUCUGCGAUCAGCUGUUGCUUUGGAAUUUGCAUCUUAAGGUAGAGGAGAUCAUAAAAGAAAAUGUUCUGUUUUUAGGUGUAUUUUCUAAAAAUUAUUUGUAAUGAUUUUUUACUGCAAAAUGACUGUAAUUUUGAAUAGAGUAAUUAAUUUUGAUUAAAAUCUGUGCACGGUGGAUUUAAACUAUAGAUUUGCUUUGACGUAUCCCAUACCUGGGUUUUGUUGAGCAAUAAAUUCGCUGUAUCGUAUCUCAUGCAUGGUUACAGAUAAAUGAACUUUAAAUGAAGAUGGCAGAUAUCAAAGGAUUAUUGUAAAGAAUGAGCGGACGUGCAUUCGAAAGUGAUCCCG